AACACCGACAAGUUGAACGCGCAUUGCACCUCGUACAACCGUACGAUGUACACAUUUUUGAGUGCCUAU
rnacentral:rRNA from 1 species